CACUGCUGUAAAUAAUGGCGAAUGACGUGAUUGAGUCAGUCUCUCUACACUCUCAAACUAUAGAUAUGUAUAUGGUGGGAUAUCUAGCAAUAUACUUCAAAUAUAUGCCAUUUUAUACUUAAAUUCAAUGGCAGUUUUGUAUUGCACCAUCUUUCUGAUUUGAUUACGUCAUUCAUAAUGCUUCAUGGGAUGUGCUUCAAUGCUUUUUCAGACUUUUCAAAAUGUUUUUUUUUUUUUGCUUUGAGUGAAAGGUUGAAUGUUGUGAAUCACUUCAGAGCUGGUUGGUUUGGUUCAAGGACUCUUUAUUGAAAAACUAUGUGAAAUGUCUAUGUAGAAAAUAAACAGAAUAAAAGCAGAUUAAAAAGUUAGGCUCUCACUGCAGAGGUGCACAAACAUUUCACUAUUAAAAUAAAAGAAUUGAACUUGAUUGAGGGUCAUUAGUUAAAAGUCAAUUUUUUAUUAUAACAAAUAUAAUAAAUUGAAGAAAUGUAAAAACCAUAUAUGAUUUGGUACUUUAAAAAGCACAGAAACAUAACCAAAUCAACAUAUCUUAACUAACUUCAGUAUUUUCUGAAGAUGAUUAUUUGCUAAAUCUAAAAUUCUACAAGGAACCAUUCAAGAACCUUCAGUGUUUGUCAAUAGACAGGAUUCUCAUUUUUUUGAUGAGAUUAACUAUCAAAGUGUUUCAAUUCAAUUUCAGUUCAAUACACUUAUACACAAUACACCCGCAUACACAUACACUGAUCAACAUUACAUUGUGCACAAUAAAAAUCCACAUAAAUACAUCACAUUCCAAGCCACAAGAACAACCAUAACCAAUUUACAUGUUUAAGUCUGACUUACAGAGAUACAAAAUAUUUCGUAUAAGGUUUAAGUGUUUAAAAUUCAACAUUUUAUAGGCAACAACAACAACAAAAACCACACUUUUACAUUCAGUUCUUGCCGGCUCUCUACAGUGGCUGAAAUAUGACUCAUCUUUCAUAGUGGAGUAUAUCCCCAAAGGACACCAAGCAUGAUGUGCUGACAGACUUCUUCACCCGCUCUAAGCCCUCCCUCCUGAGCUUACCACCUGUGCAGGUGAGGUCCAUCAGGUGAAACCCAGCACUGCACAGGGUAAUGCAUACAGCCCACCUGACCCCUGAGCUUCUAUCAGUGUCUCCGAUCGCUUCCAUUUCAGGAAAAGCAGAUGAGAGCCCCAUGCCCGCUGUAACUCAAACACCCCUCACUUAUAAUAUAUAACCAGUGUCUUUUCACUGAAAAAUGCAUACACGUGCCUGGUCUGGGUGUGUAUAUACUUGUCAGACUGUGUAACAGAUAUGUAUGUACAUGUAGUUGACUAUACAAACAACACGGGUAUGUCAGAGUUUACACAUUUCACAGUCCACCAGAACCUUUUGACUUCUUAAUAUUUUAUUUAAAAAAAAAAUCUAAAAUCUAAAAAGAAGAAAUAGACAACGGUUGAAUGUUGUAUCACUAGAUGUUGCAACACCCAAGAGAAAAACAAAACAAAGAUAGGAUAUAAAGAAUGUUCAUUUUUGUGAUUGCAUAUAAUUAGAAUGGCAUUAUAUCAUUAUUAUUUGUUAAUGCAAAUUCAAUCAUUCCAAAAACAUCCUGUUUUAGUUGGAGGGUUUUGCUUAAGGCCCUGGUUCACGGCUCUGGCCUCAAGGCAUCUACACUUCUCAAAACAAACCAUAACCAACCAAGACACCUGCUUCACAACAGCAAAAUGAAGCACCAUACAUUACAAUUCCUGUCACUCGUUAAACCAGAAUGGGCCCUCAUCACUAUUGCAUCCAUCCAUUCAGGAAUCAGCAGGAGCCCAUCACAUACCUAGUCUGUGACUCACAAGGACAUCAACACAUACAGACCUACAUGUUUAGCUGUGACCCAUACAAAGUAGCGAACUAUGUCCAUCAGUCAGAUGCAUCAGGCCAGAGACAGCACUUUAAUUAAAUCAGAAACAGCUUUCAAUUAGUUAGUCUAGGCCACGGCUGGGCAGGAAGGCUCUGUGUCAGGAAGCUGACUCAUAAAGCACAAAAACUUUUUUGUUUUUUUCCCUUUCUCCUUGUCUCCCCUCCCUUCAGGCGAAGAAGUGUCUGCUAAAUGAGAUAUACCAGUGAUUAAAAAUGAAGAGAGUGAGAGGACGUCUAUAAAAAAAAAAAGAAAAAAAAAGGUAUAGGCCAUCUGACCUUCUGUGAAGUGAUUGUGCUUCCGGCCCUGGACACAAACCAUCAUGCCUAUUGACACCUGGCUCCCCAGCAUGGGAUCGAUGGUGCUAAAAAAACACUGAGGAUCAGCAAGAGGCUCGGCAGGCAUCCUGCACUGAAGGCAUUGCGGUCUAACUUGCAUAUAGUUUUAGUCAGUUUGGGCUUUUAAUUUGGGUGUAAAAUAUUCCGAUUGGCAUCCUAAAUGAGCUUUUGUUCUAAGUUCAGCAUGAGCUCAGCAGCAGAAAACAGCAGCGGCUGUUGCUGAAGCCUCAACUCAAAAUCUCAGUUUACGGUAAAGUUUGACAUCAAAACCGCGAGACGGUGGGAUGGAGGAUAACAAACAUGAAUUUAUUCUCAGAGCCUCAUUCUCAAUGGCAUCUGUGAAGGUGUUUACAAAGAUAUCUGCGUCGUCAAACAUCAUCCCGAGUUGCCCUUAACCCCAGAGCCCCUAUUAGCGCACCUGCAUUUAAUGCGAUCGUGACGCUUGACAUCCCGACACGUCAGUGGCCAGGCUUCUGUAUGAAAAUCCGGUGCAAUAAAUUACGGAGAAUCAUAAUUCAAAUAAUGGCAUGCCUUCAGUUUCUGAGCUUUCAUGCAAACCCCAAUCAAGGCCAUGUUGCGGUGAUGAGUCAUCGCUCUAUCCAGCUGUCCAGGGGGCAUACAUCUGAUUAGCAAGCCCACGCUCACCCGGUAGGCGCAAAUGUAAAUAUUGUAAUAAAACCCUCAGUAAUAACUCCCGUGUCUUGGAGAGGCUUCACUUUAUUUAUUUUUCCCCACAUUUCAGCAAUAUUGUUUGAUGGAGACCGCAUACUUAAAUAUGAGUUUUUAAAGCGAGCAUUCAGGUGUGAGUUUCCAGAAACCAUUCUUCAACUUCAGGCUUUUUUUUUUUUUUUUUUUCAAUCUCCCACGAGGAGCUACUUGCAUCAUUAGUGUAAUUAUCCUUCACUUCGUUGUUGGAGUUAUUUACCAUCAAAGAAGUGGGUGUUUCGCUUCACCUACAGAGCUGCAGAGUGACACUCUGCACUGUGACUAAUACGCCGCAAUAUUUACAGUUUUUUUUUUUUCCCCGUGUCCCUGAAGCAAGAAAAAAAAAAAAAAA